rnacentral:lncRNA from 1 species
AAAAAAAAAAAAAAAAAGAAACAGUUACCUGUCGGCUGCAGCUGGUACCAGCUCCCCACCUUGUAGAGAGCCCAAAGCGUCCUCUCUCUCCCCACUCACCCAGCACUAGACUCUGCCCCGUGACCUCAGGCUGCACCGCUUCCUGGCCCCAUCCAACCUUCCAGCCUCACUUGAUCAUCAUGGGCCACUGGCCAACACACAGGGCAGUGCCAAGCCCAGGCCGUGGGCACACAUGGCUGGGUCAGUAGCUGAAAACAUUGUUUUUCACUGGCCUCACAGUAAUGGCACCUGCCCCCAUUUUCUGUGAUUGAAUUUUUGGAUCCUGCUACCAGGUUAUGAUAGAUGUUAUGGUAUGUCUCAAGAUGUUGAGAUAAAGGUAAUAAAACAGAUAUAAAGUCCUGGCUCAGGAAUUGUUACAAACCCAAGCUGGGUAAAUACGAGAAAACCGCAUGCAGGCACAACAUAGUAAAAUUGCAGAAAACCAAAGAUGAAUAGAAUACUUAAUAGUUGGAGAAAAAGAGCCACAUUACCUUCAAAAGGACACAAAUCAUGCAAACAUCUGACUUCGAAAUAGAAAUACAAAAGCCAAACCACAAGGGAAUGUGAUCUUCAAAAUGUUGAAAGAAUUUACUUGUUAAGUGAAAUAAUUAACUGCCAACCUAAAUUGUAUUCCUAGUGGAAAUACUCUCCAAGAACAGAGGUGAAAUAAACACAGACUCAUACAAAAGAAAUCAAGAGUGUUCUUCCUCAGGAGACGAGCUGAUGGGUAUGAGGAGAGGUGUUUGAAACGUCCUUAGAGGGAGAGCUAGAGACACAGGGAGGAGAAACCUUCAGAACACACCUUCCACUGAGGGCCAGAAAAGUCAACUAUCGAUUCUUUGAAAAUGCCCCAAACUUGUAAAUCUCUGGUGAUGCUGACCAAGAAAACAAUGAAGGCACCCUGCGAUGGGGAAGGAAAAGGGGAGAUCGCUGGAGAUCUGUGGACAUUAAAAAAUAGAGCACAAGGAACAUGCUAACAAAUUUGAAAGUUUUGAUGAUUUGGAAAAAUUCCUACGAGCUGGAAAAAUUCCUAGAAAAUUACAGCUUACCAAAACUGAAAGAAGAAGAAAGACAAAUGACCCCAUGUUUGUUAAAGAAAUUGGAUCUGUCAUUAAAAAUUUUCCCACAGUGGAAACUCUAGUCACAAAUGGCUUCACCAGUGAAUUCUACUUAACAUUUAAUGAAUAAAUAUCACCCAUCUCACACAAACUCUUCUAGAGCCGAGACAUGAUGGGAACAGCAACUCCACCUGUCAUGUUUCAGCUCCAGGAAAACGUGAUACCCAAACUCAACAAAGAAAAAAA